GCGGAAACACAUUGAUACAAGGCUUCACAGACCGACUGAACAGAGAGCUUUCUCAGAAGACCCCUCCUAGUAUGCGCUUGAAGUUGAUGGCCAAUAACACCACAGUGGAGCGAAGGUUUAGCUCCUGGAUUGGUGGCUCUAUUUUAGCUUCUUUGGGAACAUUCCAGCAGAUGUGGAUUUCUAAACAGGAAUAUGAAGAAGGAGGCAAACAGUGUGUUGAAAGAAAAUGUCCUUAAAGCUCAGGCAAGCAACCAGUUUGUGAGGGCAUCAUGGCAGCCUGGCUUUUUGUCUCCAUUAGAUUUCUCAGGAACACUGUACUAAAACUUCCUGUAUAAAUUCUUUCACUGGUUUCUUUGUAUAGUAACUAGAUGCUAAUGUACAUUUCUGAAGAUUUUUGUUUUGUUUUAAAAAAAAAUCUCAAAAAUAGUCCAAAAGAUGCAAUACUUUUAAAAGUGUUGAGGCUGUUUAAACAAGACUUAAUACCAAUCAUGUCAAAUCCCUGUGACUUAACGUCAAAAUAUUUCACAUUGUAGUGAUAUUUUUGUAAGCACUGGUUGUUUUUGUACAUGGAAUAGAUUAACCGUUUUAACUUCAGUAAUUUGUGCCUUUUAUUGGAAUAAAUUGAGAAUAUUCCUGAAGCAGUUCGCAGGCCAAACCUAACCACAGUACACCUUAACUACAGUCCUGCCUGUUACCCUUUGUUACAAAUUUGCAACCAUUUCCUGUGGGAUAAUUUGAAACGAGUUUGUAAUUUAUACACAGCUGAUUUUAAAAUUGAAAAUAAACCAUCUUUGGAAACUU